rnacentral:lncRNA from 1 species
CACAAUUAAGGCUUUGACUCAGCACAGGUGAGCCACUCGCGCGCCCUGCUGAGCUGACGGGUCUAGCUCGAGAGCGCACAGGAGGACAGGGGUUCAGUCACUGCUGGCCAAGGCCCCUAGGGUUUCUUCGCGUGUGUUUUUAUAUGCUUAGAUUUUAACUUCAAAAUUAGCUAAAAAAGAAAGGGAAAAAUGUUCUCGGAACUUCUGUGUGAAUUAUGAGCUACGCUGCUGUGGUCCUGUUUUACUAAAAAUGACGUGGCCGGAUGAUUUUGGGAGAUUAAGCGCGGGUUUUCUGACCAUUUUACUUAGCUUUACUUUUCAAGGUGCAUACUGUGGACUGGUGGUUUCUCCUGUUGGUCCUACUCUGGUGAAUGCUAUAUCUGGCAGCAAUGUGACUCUGGCUGUGUCCUUCAGUGGUGCCCCUGACCCAGCGGUUACCUGGUUCAUGAAGGAUUUUAGCCUACCUGUCGUCACAUGGGCUAUUAACUCCAAUACUCUCCCAGACAUAGAGGAGAACAGAAGAAAGGUGCUGAGGAUUGAGCCAAAUGGAUCCCUUACCUUUGUAAAUGUGCCACUUGAGUAUACCAGUAACUACACCAUUGAAAUGACUAAAUCUGGACUGGGAAGAUCCUCGACUACUUUCUCUCUGGAAGUAUUUAUUUAUAUUGCUCUAUGCACUUGCUGUAAUGACAAAAAUGGAAAA